CUGAAAAUCUCCUCUUCUCUUGGCGGAGGAAGAAAGGGCUGUGUGGACCAGAUGGAUUCUUAUCUGCUGGACCCACAGCCGAGUCCAUGAAAGCUUCUUGGAGGAAUGCGGCCUUCAUGGGUUGUCGAGUUCCUGGGUGGGAAGCAGCGAUGGAAGAGAGGGAGAAAGAUGCGACCUUGACACCUGAGCUUGGCCAGCGGUGGCAUCCAGGCUGCAGGGAAGAAGCCCUUAUGCCUGCCCGAUCAGGCGCCCAGUCGUGUCCGACUCUGCGACCCCGUGGACUGUAGCCCGCCAGGCUCCUCUGUCCGUGGGAUUCUCCAGGCAAGAAUAGUGGAGUGGGUUGCCAUUUCCUCCUCCAGGGGAUCUUUCCGACCCAGGGACGAACCCAGGUCUCUUAUAUAUUCUGUGCUGGGAGGCGGGUUCUUCACCAAUAGCACCACCCGGGAAGCCCCAGUUCCACAUUCAGUUCAGUUCAGCCGCCCAGUCGUGUCUGACUCUCUGUGACCCCAUGGACUGCAGCACCCCAGGCCUCCCUGUCCAUCACCAACUCCCAGAGCUUACUCAAAGUCACGUCCAUCGAGUCGGUGAUGCCGUCCCACCAUCUCAUCCUCCAUCACCCCCUUCUCCCGCCCUCAAGCUUUCCCAGCAUCAGGUUCAACGUGAGUCUGCAUAAAAUCCCGAUUGUCCGCCAGCCCCGCGGGCUCCCUCCUCCAGAGGUGCAGAAAGAGAACUCAGUCCUCCCGGGCUGGCAGCCACAGUAGCCCUUUUAGGGGGGCCCCCCGCCCUCUCCCAGGGCUGGACAAGCUCCCCACUGUUAGCUGUCUCUGCACCCCACGCAGGAGCCGGCCAGCAGAGCCCUUUAGCAGCCGG
ensembl:lncRNA